UCCACUUCUUGUUGGGUUUUUCCCUCUCCUUUUCUUGGAACACAUUGCAUUGUUUGGCAGUUUCCUCCAAAAUGAAACAUUCCCUACAGGAUGGUGGGGAGGAUCAAGAGACUCAGAAGGCAAACAAAAUGCACAUGCCUGGGAAAGCGGAAACUUAGAAGAUUCUAGAAGCCUCCUCCCCAGUUUUGUAGAAGGAGCAUGCAGCUCAUGGAGAGAGGACACUGACUGGCCGAGCUGAGAGGAGACAUUUGGAGCUGUUCAGCUGCCUGCAAGUUGUACAGAAAGCCACAGGAUUGCAGCUUUCAUGAGCUGUCUGCUUGGUUGGGGUGAGCUUUUCCAUGAAGCAACUGCUUUUGAGUCAUCCCUGAUCCUUGGCUGAAAACUUCAGCAGCUAAUGUGGAGAAGACAACAUCAGAGGACAUCUGUGGAGAUCCAGUCUCGGGUAUAGAAAAGGCUGUCAGAUGGGCCCAUAAAGUACCAUAUUUGAUAAAGCUCUAGAAGAGAAGAUAUCUGUAACCCAAGGAUCUGCUGAAGAAAUUUGUCUCAAAAUAUAUUUUAAAAAGUCCCACAAAUGGAUCAUAAACAGCCUAUAUCCUAAAAAGAAAAGAAACAAAAGCGCUUAUUGGGUACUUCACUGAAGAGGACAUUCCCAAGACCCAUGGGCUGAGACCAAGGCAGUUGGCAUGAGGUAUCAAAAAUGGAAAUGAAGCUGAACUUGGAGGCAUGUGCCUGUAUCCCUGUACUGACUGAACUGAGGUAAGAGGAGAGCAUUCCAUAGCAAGACCCUGCUUCACAAAAUUUAACAUUAAGAUAUCUCCAAGAACAGAGGGAUAGUUUUCCAUCCACAGAUUCAAUGAUCCCUUAUGGUGAUAUUUUAUUAGUGCUGAAAUGUGAUUUUAUUUGUAUGUUAAUAAAGUUGCCUGGAGAUCAGAGCUAAGAGCAAGCCAUUUAGCAGAAGUCCAGUGGUGGUGGCACACACCCUUAAUCGGAUCACAUGGCAGGCAGAAUCUCUGUGUGUUAAAGGACACAGCCAAGCGGUGACCCAAACCUUUAAUCUCAGUACAAACCAUAGAGACCUGCAGGUCUAGAAAGGCAGUGAUGAGGAAGUCAUGUGGUUGGGUUUACAGCCAAUGAGAAGGCAGAACAGAAAGGCAAUAAAAAGACAGGACACAGGAAGAAGGUCUCUCUCUCAGGGGAAGGACAGCAGCGAGUGGAAAGAUAAGGUGGUCUUAGCUCUUGGCUACUGCUCGAUCUCUGGGCUUUUAACUCUUUAUUUGGCUCUGUGUUUCUUAUUUAAUAAGACUGUUUAGAAUUACAUCUACAAUCCCUGUCACAAUGAUUGAUUCAUGGAACUAGAGAAAAAAGUUCUGAAAGCCAUACAUAACUAUAUAAUAUGCUAAAUUGUGAGCACAAAAGCCAAAGCAGGAUACAUUUGACUGCCAGGUUUUAGAAUAUAAAAUUGUAGCAGUCAAGACUAUAGCGUGGAAUUACCAGGAAAGAUUCAUGGGCCAAUGGGGAAGAGCAAAGAAGCUAGAAAACCCAGACAUGUGCAACCUGCUAUCACCUGACAGACUUGGUAAGCUCAAGCACUGGAGAAAGACCAGGGAUAGGGAAAAUGAAUGUCCAUGUGUAGAAGAAUGAAAACUAUGUUCUUGUCUCUCGACACUUACAAAAUCAAUUCAAACUGGAUUAAGCACCAAAUCUAUGAGCAAACAGGAACUGGAGCAGUAACGGAGUUUUUAGAAAAGACCCUGUCUGAGUUGGCUUCAGCUGUCAACUUCACACAGCCCAGAGUCAACUGAGGGAACCUCAACUGAAGAAGGUCCUAGGGACAAUUGGCCUGUGGGUGUGUAUGUGGGACCUUGUCUGGAUGGCUGAUUGACUAGAGGGCCCAGCCCACUGUGGGUGGCACCAUCCCUUGA